ensembl:lncRNA
GGGGUUCUGAAUUCACAUGUGUGGCAUUAUACAAAUCUUGCUGCCUGAAGAGCAUCUCAAAUCAGUUACUUAUGAGCAGGUCCUUAAGAAACCUCAGCAGAAAGCUUUGCAGAUUUAUGCAGCACCUGAACUCCCACAAGAGUAAGUGUUGAUAACGUGCAAAAAGUCAGUAAAAUCUGUCUAGGCCAGCUUAUGAGAAUUUGUUUGCCCAUCAUUUACUCACCUUCACACUGUUCCAAACCUGUAUGACUUUCUUUCUUUAGUAAAGUGUUACAGGGACCCGACCCCCCCCCCCCCCCACCUAAAAGCACCUUGAUUUAUCAUAUAAGUGCUCAGUAGGACUACUGUAUUCUUCCAAUAGCUUUUUCUGACUAACCAAACAUAUUUUAUUCUCAAAAUCUCCCCUCUGCUCAAAUUCAUGUCGUCAUUAUUCACCCCCAUGUUGUUGCGAAUCUGCAGAAAACAAAAGAAAGUUUUGAAUAAUGUUGAUAACAAUAAUGUUGAAAUAUUUUUUUGGUUACCAUUGACUUCUAUUAUAUGGGGGGAAAAAACACUGACAAAACUCUCAACAUAUAUUGUUACACAGGUUUGGAACAACAUUAAGGUGAAAUGAUGACACAAUUUUCACUUGUGUCCCAAGAUUUGUAUAGUGUGUUAAAAUAUUAUGUGUGUUCUGUGGGAAUUGAACCCAACAACUUGCUCGUAGAGAAAGCAAGACAUACUGUACUGUGUGAGGUAAUAAGACACACAGGGAUACAUCAAUUAAACUGUGAUUAAAAACAUGAUGGAAAUGCUGCAGAAUGCAAUAAUUUGAGGCCUACAUUUCUAACACACAGGCACACACACAUCUGGUUUGCCGGUGUCUGGUUCUGGUGGUGCUGUGCCUCAGUGGGGUGCGGGCGGCGUGCUGCUCCUCUGUGCAGUGAUGAAUGAGUGGAGAUUUGGAGAGCGCUUUGGAAAAGAGAGCCAGAGUCCUUUCACAUCCACUCCAAACACUGAGAGAACAGCAGGAGCCCACAGAGAGGUUACAGUCCAAAGAGAUCCGCUCUGAGGAACCUACGAGAGACAUCAAAAAUAACAUCUCUCCCGCCCUCUCUCUGCAGCAGUUCAGAGCAGCGUGUCCUGGAAACUUCCUUCUGAGUCAGAAAUGGAUCUCAUUGACUGGUUGGUGAAAAGCGGCUGUUCCAUACCGGAUUCCAGCCAGACCUGAAUGUAAGUUUGGAGUCUAAAGGUCAAGAGCAUUACCAUGUAUACGAAUAGUAAUGCUUCACCAGUCAUUUUUUUUUUUUUAUUGCCGCCAGCUUAAUUGCAAUAAAUGGCUAGUUUACUGACCCUCAUGUAGUGCCAAACCCAAAAGACUUUUGUUCUUUCUUGAAAAACAAAUGAAGAUAUUUUAAUGAAAAUGAGAGAGUGUCCUUCCAUUGAAACUCCACCACAACUUCAAUGCUUCAUAAAGUUCAUGAAGACAUAGUAAAACUAAUCCAUUUCAAUCAAGCGGUUUAAUCCAAGUCUUCUGAAGAGAGGACUUUUUAUUUAUGCAGUAUUUAAACACUGAUCAAUGCACAAACACACAUCAAAUGUCCUUUCAAAACAAACUUUCCUUGCGCUUCCUGCAUGUCAAGCUAGCAUGUCUGCACUUCUGUUGACUAUAUUUUAUGCGUUGUAUUAGCAAAAAUAUAUAUUUUUAACCAUUCAAAGGUGCAGUAUGUAAUUUUUUAUAAUAUGUUUGCAGAUAUUAAGGAAAAACACAAGUUCACAUACUUGUUUCACUGAAAAGCAAUGCUACAGCCAGUUAAUUUGCUUUGAAACAUGGGUUGUGUGUCAGAACGUCUGUUUUUGGUUUGGACUGAGUGACCCACCCACUGCCAAUUUACACAAUAGUAUUUCGACAACCUGGGUUGCCAGUUGGUGUAAAACACAGCGUACUGCAGCCAUGGAAGCCAGCAAAUGAAUUGUGUCAGAGAUUGUAGAUUCUACCCGACCUAAAAAGCCUCAGUAAAAAGCUCUAUGACCAGAGGAUUAUUAAAACACAGAUAAAUCAACUCAUCAACUUAGAGUGUAAAGCUUGUUGCCUUCUACUGUCAAUUACACUCAAUUAUGUUGCAAGUUGCUCAAUCUGGCAACCUGAUCUGAAGAGAAGAGGGCGGUAGAAACGACUCUCUCCAAUAUUUUGAAUUUAGACUGCAGUACCCAUUUCAACCACUAGCUGUCAAUAUUAUAUACGGCAUCUUUAAGCUGCUUCACACCCUUUAAAACCUGGUUUUAAUCUCUCUAUUUAUUGACAAAUUUUUAAGAUUGUCGUAAAUGUUAUUUAUGUAAAAAAAAAAAAAAAAAGACAUUACACUCUACAUAUGUUAGACAUUUUUAUACAAAGAGCUUUUGGAAAACUAUAUCACAUCCACCAGUCCAUAACCUAAACACAGAUCUUAACACAGACCUUUCAAUUACUGCUGCCUAGUUACCACUGUAUUAUUGAAUAGCUGUGAAUCCCACCAAUAAAAACACAUAUUGUGUUACUAGGGUAAUGUGUGAGCGGUUCAGACUAGAAAAACCGUACAUUUCUAAAAGAUGCCUAUGCAAACACACUCGUAAAAACUUCGACAUUGUAAGCUUAUACGUCUGGCAUAUUACUCAGUAUGUCUGGAGUGACUGAACUCUUUGUACCUGAAGAUCUCUUGUUUAUCUGUUACGCAACCAUCACAAACAUAGACUGUUGUAAGACAAGCCUUCUUCUCCCAAGAUUAAUAGAUAAACAUGUUCAAGUUAUUAUCUAGCUUCAAGUUUCUAGGUCAUCCUGAGAAUGAACCAACAAACAGGUCUUCAACCACUAAAAGGGCAGUUUACCCAAAAACUGCAUGUUGUUAUACUCUCAUUAAACAUUUU